CUGAGUUGGUGCUGUGGCAGGAGCACAGGGCCCAACCAUGUUCCCAUCCUGACUUUGCCAUUUACUAACGAAUACGCUGAUGAACAGAUAUUCUUAAUUUCAACACAGUCAAAAUCAUCACUAGUUUACUUCAGACAUUUACAUUUUGAUCUAACCUACCACCACCAUGACUGCCAUUGCUCAUUGACUCACCAAAAAUUGGGUAAAUGAUUUUCUUAUUUGUUUUUAUUA